rnacentral:rRNA from 1 species
CCGAGUCUUAACUGGGCGUCUAGUUGCAAGGUGUAGACCCGAAACCGGGUGAUCUAGCCAUGGGCAGGUUGAAGGUUGAGUAACAUCAACUGGAGGACCGAACCCACUAACGUUGCAAAGUUAGGGGAUGACCUGUGGCUGGGGGUGAAAGGCCAAUCAAACUCGGAGAUAGCUGGUUCUCCCCGAAAGCUAUUUAGGUAGCGCCUCGGACGAAUACUACUGGGGGUAGAGCACUGUUUGGGCUAGGGGGUCAUCCCGACUUACCAACCCCAUGCAAACUCCGAAUACCAGUAAGUACUAUCCGGGAGACACACGGCGGGUGCUAACGUCCGUCGUGAAGAGGGAAACAACCCAGACCGCCGGCUAAGGUCCCAAAGUUCUGGUUAAGUGGGAAACGAUGUGGGAAGGCUCAGACAGCUAGGAUGUUGGCUUAGAAGCAGCCAUCAUUUAAAGAAAGCGUAAUAGCUCACUAGUCGAGUCGGCCUGCGCGGAAGAUGUAACGGGGCUCAAACCAGGCACCGAAGCCGCGGAUUCACGCUAAGCGUGAGUGGUAGGGG